rnacentral:rRNA from 1 species
UACCAGCACCCCGAGUGGUCGGGACGUUUAUUGGGCCUAAAGCAUCCGUAGCCGGUUCUACGAGUCUUCCGUUAAAUCCGACUGCUUAACAGGUGGGCUGCGGAAGAUACUAUAGAGCUAGGAGGCGGGAGAGGCAAGCGGUACUCGAUGGGUAGGGGUAAAAUCCGUUGAUCCAUUGAAGACCACCAGUGGCGAAGGCGGCUUGCCAGAACGCGCUCGACGGUGAGGGAUGAAAGCUGGGGGAGCAAACCGG